AAAAACUGGGAUGAGAGCAGGCAGGACUGUCUGAGGAGAGGAGCUGACCUGGUGAUCAUCAACAGCAGAGAAGAAAACUCGUUUCUGAAGAACUUUGGUCUCAGAGUCUGGAUUGGUAUGUCUGAUCUGGAAACAGAAGGGGAGUGGAAGUGGGUGGAUGGAUCAAGUCUGAGCUACACGUCCUGGGCAAAAGGUCAGCCUGAUGAUGCUCGUGAAGGAGAAGACUGUGGAGAAGUGAGACCAGAACGAGAUGGA